rnacentral:rRNA from 1 species
UACGUAGGCAGCGAGCGUUGUUCGGAAUUACUGGGCGUAAAGAGUGUGUAGGCGGUGCUCCCAGUCUGUUGUGAAAUCUCCCGGCUUAACUGGGAGGGUGCAGCGGAAACUAGAGUGCUAGAGGGUGGGAGAGGUAAGCGGAAUUCCUGGUGUAGCGGUGAAAUGCGUAGAUAUCAGGAGGAACACCGGUGGUGUAAACGGCUUUCUGGACCAUUGCUGACGCUGAGACACGAAAGCGUGGGUAGCAAACAGG